rnacentral:lncRNA from 1 species
CCAUUGUCAGAGUGGAUCAUUUCAAUAAAAAUGCAUUGUACAUAAGUUCGCAAAAAUUGUUUAUUUUACUACCCCGAUACAUGAGUAAGAAUUAAGAGGUAUAAGUUAGCUUGAAUUUAAAGUGCAACAAAGGCUGUCUGGUAAUGGCAAUGAUGUGCCUUUCAUGUAUGUAUGAAACCAUAUUUCUUUUUGUGAAUUUUAUACCU